GAUGAACGCUGGCGGCGUGCCUAAUACAUGCAAGUCGAGCGAACAGAUAAGGAGCUUGCUCCUUUGACGUUAGCGGCGGACGGGUGAGUAACACGUGGGUAACCUACCUAUAAGACUGGGAUAACUUCGGGAAACCGGAGCUAAUACCGGAUAACAUUUGGAACCGCAUGGUUCUAAAGUGAAAGAUGGUUUUGCUAUCACUUAUAGAUGGACCCGCGCCGUAUUAGCUAGUUGGUAAGGUAACGGCUUACCAAGGCGACGAUACGUAGCCGACCUGAGAGGGUGAUCGGCCACACUGGAACUGAGACACGGUCCAGACUCCUACGGGAGGCAGCAGUAGGGAAUCUUCCGCAAUGGGCGAAAGCCUGACGGAGCAACGCCGCGUGAGUGAUGAAGGGUUUCGGUUCGUAAAACUCUGUUAUUAGGGAAGAACAAACGUGUAAGUAACUGUGCACGUCUUGACGGUACCUAAUCAGAAAGCCACGGCUAACUACGUG
rnacentral:rRNA from 1 species